UGAGUGAAGAAGGCUUUCGGGUCGUAAAACUCUGUUGUUGGAGAAGAAUGGUCGGCAGAGUAACUGUUGUCGGCGUGACGGUAUCCAACCAGAAAGCCACGGCUAACUACGUGCCAGCAGCCGCGGUAAUACGUAGGUGGCAAGCGUUAUCCGGAUUUAUUGGGCGUAAAGCGAGCGCAGGCGGUUUUUUAAGUCUGAUGUGAAAGCCCUCGGCUUAACCGAGGAAGUGCAUCGGAAACUGGGAAACUUGAGUGCAGAAGAGGACAGUGGAACUCCAUGUGUAGCGGUGAAAUGCGUAGAUAUAUGGAAGAACACCAGUGGCGAAGGCGGCUGUCUGGUCUGUAACUGACGCUGAGGCUCGAAAGCAUGGGUAGCGAACAGGAUUAGAUACCCUGGUAGUCCAUGCCGUAAACGAUGAAUGCUAGGUGUUGGAGGGUUUCCGCCCUUCAGUGCCGCAGCUAACGCAUUAAGCAUUCCGCCUGGGGAGUACGACCGCAAGGUUGAAACUCAAAGGAAUUGACGGGGGCCCGCACAAGCGGUGGAGCUGUGGUUUAAUUCGAAGCAACGCGAAGAAC
rnacentral:rRNA from 2 species